rnacentral:lncRNA from 1 species
GGUCUUUCCAAUGACUUGCCUUGCUCUGUAACUUGGUUUUGAAAGAAAAAUGAUUGAUGACUCCUGGAAACCAAACGGAACUUUAAAGAGCUAAGACAAGAGUGAGCCAAUUGCUUUGUUAGAGAUGUAUUCUUUAGGAAGAAACCAAACGAACGUGAUAUAUACUCUGUAACAAACGGUCCAGGGGAAUGAGCACCGCUCCCCCCUGUGUUUGGGCUGGCACUCCAAAGCCAGCCCACGCUUUAAAAUAGCUUUUGGAAAGCCUGCUCCUCCCCGAGAGCCACUGAACAGGGAGCCUGAUGCUGGUAAGGAAGAGUUAACCAGAAAUUGAGCGGGGCUGCUGGGGGGCAGCAGUGCUGCAGAACAUAGCAGCGUUCGUGCAAAGGCAAGUCAUUUCCCGAAACACUGCAGACACAUGGCCUCGGGCUGUCUAAAACCUUUGGAGACCAAAAUGGCUCGCAGGAGUUAGAAGUAAUAAGGCUGUGGAAGCGGCCAGCGGUACCCAGCCCUCUUAUCCAGGCUGUACUCAAGACAGAAAAUCACAAGAGUCAACCUCAGGGAUUUCAUCUUCUACUUGGAACAGGAAAGAAAAACAAGCCACUAUCUUCUGCUCUAUCAAGCCUUGCUUAAAUAAAGCCAAUCAUUUCCCUGGCUUCCUCAGAGGGAAGCUCAGAUGAACAUUUAAAAUCUGUCAUUUUCAUGUGCCUUCUCUUUUUGUUUUCUCAGAUGUCAGGCUUUGGUUUAUGUAAAAAUUAAGAUGCAAUAAAUCCUCCCAGCCAGAAACGAAAGCA